AAUAGUGGAACUCAGUCUAAAAACGCCACACCCUGUGGCAACGGCUGAGUGACCAACAUCGUGUUGG
rnacentral:sRNA from 1 species